AUACAGAGGGUGCGAGCGUUAAUCGGAAUUACUGGGCGUAAAGCGCGCGUAGGCGGCUUAUUAAGUCAGAUGUGAAAUCCCCGGGCUCAACCUGGGAACUGCAUCUGAUACUGGUAAGCUAGAGUUUUGGAGAGGGAAGUAGAAUUUCAGGUGUAGCGGUGAAAUGCAUAAAGAUCUGAAGGAAUACCAGUGGCGAAGGCGACUUCCUGGCCAAAAACUGACGCUGAGGUGCGAAAGCGUGGGUAGCAAACGGGAGUAGAAACCCCUGUAGUCC
rnacentral:rRNA from 1 species